rnacentral:rRNA from 1 species
CCUACGGUGUGCAGCAGUGAGGAAUAUUGGUCAAUGGGCGAGAGUCUGAACCCGCCAAGUCGCGUGAAGGAUGAAGGCUCUAUGGGUUGUAAACUUCUUUUAUAUGGGAAUAAAGUGAGUAACGUGUUCCUUUUUGUAUGUACCAUAUGAAUAAGCAUCGGCUAACUCCGUGCCAGCAGCCGCGGGAAUACGGAAGAUGCGGUCGUUAUCCGGAUUUCUUGGGUUUAAAGGGUGCGUAGGUGGUUAAUUAAGUCAGCGGUGAAAUUUUGUGGCUCAACCAUAGACUUGCAGUUGAAACUGGUUGACUUGAGUAUACUUGAGGUAGGCGGAAUGCGUGGUGUAGCGGUGAAAUGCAUAGAUAUCACGCAGAACUCCGAUUGCGAAGGCAGCUUACUAAACUAUAACUGACACUGAAGCACGAAAGCGUGGGGAUCAAACAGGAUUAGAUACCCUAGUAGUC